AGCGGGGUGGGGUAGCCAGGAAAUCCCGACGGGCCCAUAACCCGUAGAUCGAUGGUUCAAAUCCAUCCCCCGCUA
rnacentral:tRNA from 2 species